rnacentral:misc_RNA from 1 species
UACGGAGGGUGCGAGCGUUACUCGGAAUUACUGGGCGUAAAGCGCGCGUAGGCGGCGUGAUAAGCCGGUUGUGAAAGCCCCGGGCUCAACCUGGGAACGGCAUCCGGAACUGUCAAGCUAGAGUGCAGGAGAGGAAGGUAGAAUUCCCGGUGUUGCGGUGAAAUGCGUAGAGAUCGGGAGGAAUACCAGUGGCGAAGGCGGCCUUCUGGACUGACACUGACACUGAGGUGCGAAGGUGUGGGGAGCAAACAGG